rnacentral:rRNA from 1 species
AUUGAACGCUGGCGGCAUGCCUUACACAUGCAAGUCGAACGGUAACAGGUCUUCGGAUGCUGACGAGUGGCGAACGGGUGAGUAAUGCAUCGGAACGUGCCCAGUUGUGGGGGAUAACUGCUCGAAAGAGCAGCUAAUACCGCAUACGACCUGAGGGUGAAAGCGGGGGAUCGCAAGACCUCGCGCAAUUGGAGCGGCCGAUGUCAGAUUAGGUAGUUGGUGGGGUAAAGGCCUACCAAGCCGACGAUCUGUAGUUGGUCUGAGAGGACGACCAGCCACACUGGGACUGAGACACGGCCCAGACUCCUACGGGAGGCAGCAGUGGGGAAUUUUGGACAGUGGGCGCAAGCCUGAUCCAGCAAUGCCGCGUGCAGGAAGAAGGCCUUCGGGCUGUAAACUGCUUUUGUCAGGGAAGAAAUCCUCUGGGUUAAUACCCCGGGGGGAUGACGGUACCUGAAGAAUGAGCACCGGCUAACUACGUGCCAGCCGCCGCAGUAAGAC